GGUGUAUCUGGGUCGUAGUCAUUCACUAUGGUUAAAUCUUGGAACUCAUUUUCCAGGAAAUGAUGUGGCCAUGCUUUUAGGUGGUCAGUUGUUGGAUAUUUGACAACACCAUUUUCCUGUAGCUGUGAUUCGUCUAUAGUGGCCCAUACUUUUGCCAUAGGCCCAAGAUCAUUCCAUGAUAUUGUUUUCAACUUGGUCACAGGGACAUGUGGAAUGGCAGUGUCCCAAUGACGGUACAAAUGCUUGAGUUCCGGAGGUAGAUGAAUCAAGACCAUACUGUUGCCUUCAGAAUCACAGUAGAAGUCUUGUG